rnacentral:lncRNA from 1 species
UCAGGAAAGGUAGGGAUGAGAAGGAUGCCUUGUCUGUUGUGCAGUAUUCAUGCCAGAGAACAGGAACUCAAGCCAGCCACUAAGUUCAGGACUGAAGCAAAGGAUUAAUGCAUUUUUCAGACUAUUAGGCCCCUAGAAAGUUAAUCCUACUUUGAAGAUCUCUAAUUUAACCACUGACUCUCAGAAAUUCGAACUGAAAGAGACAGAGCUACUUGAGUUGAAGAGUCAUAUGGAGGCUCCAUGGAAGUAGUGGUUUUCAACAAAGCAUAAGAUAAUCAAACAUCAGAUACCCUUGGAGGAGAGAAUGACAAAUGGAUAGAUUUACAGAGCGAAAUGAAGUCAUAAGAAAGAGAGAUGCAGAGAUGGCAUUAUGUGAAGACAUUAACCUUGGUUACCAAAUUAAAUAUCCAGGCCCUGGACAGCCAA